rnacentral:rRNA from 1 species
CCUACGGGGUGCAGCAGUGGGGGAUAUUGGACAAUGGGGGGAACCCUGAUCCAGCGACGCCGCGUGAGUGAAGAAGUAUUUCGGUAUGUAAAGCUCUGUCAGCAGGGAAGAAAGAAAUGACGGUACCUGACCAAGAAGCCCCGGCUAACUACGUGCCAGCAGCCGCGGUAAUACGUAGGGGGCAAGCGUUAUCCGGAAUUACUGGGUGUAAAGGGAGCGUAGACGGUUAAGUAAGUCUGGAGGGAAAGGCCGGGGCCCAACCCCGGGACUGCUCUGGAAACUAUUGAACUUGAGUGCAGGGGAGGUAAGCGGAAUUCCUAGUGUAGCGGUGAAAUGCGUAGAUAUUAGGAGGAACACCAGUGGCGAAGGCGGCUUACUGGACUGUAACUGACGUUGAGGCUCGAAAGCGUGGGGAGCAAACAGGAUUAGAUACCCUUGUAGUC